rnacentral:rRNA from 1 species
GACAGAGGGGGCAAGCGUUGCUCGGAAUUACUGGGUGUAAAGCGCGUGUAGGCGGGAGGCCAAGUCUGCGGUGAAAUCGCUCGGCUCAACUGGGCGGGGUCCGUGGAAACUGGUCACCUGGAGGACGGUAGAGGCGAGUGGAAUUCCCGGUGUAGUGGUGAAAUGCGUAGAGAUCGGGAGGAACACCAGUGGCGAAGGCGGCUCGCUGGGCCGGACCUGACGCUGAGACGCGAAGGCGUGGGGAGCGAACGGG